rnacentral:rRNA from 1 species
GCGAACGCUGGCGGCAGGCUUAACACAUGCAAGUCGAGCGGGCGUAGCAAUACGUCAGCGGCAGACGGGUGAGUAACACGUGGGAACGUACCUUUUGGUUCGGAACAACUGAGGGAAACUUCAGCUAAUACCGGAUAAGCCCUUACGGGGAAAGAUUUAUCGCCGAAAGAUCGGCCCGCGUCUGAUUAGCUAGUUGGUGAGGUAACGGCUCACCAAGGCGACGAUCAGUAGCUGGUCUGAGAGGAUGAUCAGCCACACUGGGACUGAGACACGGCCCAGACUCCUACGGGAGGCAGCAGUGGGGAAUAUUGGACAAUGGGCGCAAGCCUGAUCCAGCCAUGCCGCGUGAGUGAUGAAGGCCCUAGGGUUGUAAAGCUCUUUUGUGCGGGAAGAUAAUGACGGUACCGCAAGAAUAAGCCCCGGCUAACUUCGUGCCGACAGCGGCGGUAAUACUAAGGGGGCUAGCGUUGCUCGUAAUCACUGGGCGAAAAGGGUGCGUAUGCGGGUCUUUAAGUGAGGGAUGAUAUCCUGGAACUCAACUCCGGAACUGCCUUUGAUACUGAGGAUCUUGAGUUCGGAAGAGGUGAGAGGAACUGCGAGUGUAGAGGUGAAAUUCUUACAUCUUCGCGAGAUCACCAGUGGCGAAUGCGGCUCACUGGUCCUAUACUGACCCUAAGGGACCAAUGCCAGGGGAGACUAACCGAUUAGAUACCCACGUAUUGCAACGCCCCACACGACGAAUGUGUGUCAAUCGAGGGUUCACUCUUUCGCUCUGAGCCAUAAUCAUUUUAUAAUCACCUAGUGGAUACUACGGCCGCCAGCAUGAAAACUCAUAUGAAAUGAACUCCGAAC